rnacentral:rRNA from 1 species
GAUGAACGCUGGCGGCGUGCCUAAUACAUGCAAGUCGAGCGAAUGGAUUAAGAGCUUGCUCUUAUGAAGUUAGCGGCGGACGGGUGAGUAACACGUGGGUAACCUGCCCAUAAGACUGGGAUAACUCCGGGAAACCGGGGUUAAUACCGGAUAACAUUUUGAACCGCAUGGUUCGAAAUUGAAAGGCGGCUUCGGCUGUCACUUAUGGAUGGACCCGCGUCGCAUUAGCUAGUUGGUGAGGUAACGGCUCACCAAGGCAACGAUGCGUAGCCGACCGGAGAGGGUGAUCGGCCACACGUGGACUGAGACACGGCCCAGACUCCUACGGGAGGCAGCAGUAGGGAAUCUUCCGCAAUGGACGAAAGUCUGACGGAGCAACGCCGCGUGAGUGAUGAAGGCUUUCGGGUCGUAAAACUCUGUUGUUAGGGAAGAACAAGUGCUAGUUGAAUAAGCUGGCACCUUGACGGUACCUAACCAGAAAGCCACGGCUAACUACGUGCCAGCCGCCGCGGUAA